AUGCAUUUGCUUGCUCCAAUCAUUUCGAGGCUCAAACUCAUUUGGCCAGAAAUUUAGCAGUGUAAACAACCGCAGCCAAACUAAAAGUAUAAUGGCACAAAGCAAAAAUAUUUUAGAGUAGUAUGUAGGGCCAUGUGGUAGAACCCCUUUCAUAAAAUUUUCAGUGCAAUCCAUCCAACCAAACUUUCUAUCAUUGGAUAAGCCUUGUUACCAUCUGUUGGGUAGAUAUCUGGCUAGGACACUACCUCCCA
rnacentral:lncRNA from 1 species